rnacentral:rRNA from 1 species
CCUACGGGUGGCAGCAGUGAGGAAUAUUGGUCAAUGGCCGAGAGGCUGAACCAGCCAAGCCGCGUGAGGGAAGACGGCUCUACGGGUUGUAAACCUCUUUUGUCGGGGAGCAAAGCGAACCACGUGUGGCUCAUUGAGAGUACCCGAAGAAAAAGCAUCGGCUAACUCCGUGCCAGCAGCCGCGGUAAUACGGAGGAUGCGAGGGUUAUCCGGAUUUAUUGGGUUAAAGGGGUGCGCAGGCGGAGGUGCAAGUCAGCGGUCAAAUUGCGGGGCUCAACCCCGGACUGCCGUUGAAACUGCGACCCUUGAGUGCGCGAGAAGUAUGCGGAAUGCGUGGUGUAGCGGUGAAAUGCAUAGAUAUCGCGCAGAACUCCGAUUGCGAAGGCAGCAUACCGGCGCGCAACUGACGCUGAGGCACGAAAGCGUGGGUAUCGAACAGGAUUAGAUACCCGGGUAGUC